AUUGAACGCUGGCGGCAGGCCUAACACAUGCAAGUCGAACGAGUGGCGGACGGGUGAGUAAUGUCUGGGAAACUGCCCGAUGGAGGGGGAUAACUACUGGAAACGGUAGCUAAUACCGCAUACCAUCGGAUGUGCCCAGAUGGGAUUAGCUUGUAGGUGAGGUAACGGGUAACCUAGGCGACGAGCCCUAGCUGGUCUGAGAGGAUGACCAGCCACACGGGAACUUAGGAACGGUCAAGACUCCCACGGGAGGCAGCAUUGGGGAAUAUUGCACAAGGGGUGCAAGCCUGAUGCAGCCAUGCCGCGUGUAUGAAGAAGGCCUUCGGGUUGUAAAGUACUUUCAGCGGGGAGGCGUUACCCGCAGAAGAAGCACCGGCUAACUCCGUGCCAGCAGCCGCGGGAAUAC
rnacentral:rRNA from 1 species